rnacentral:tRNA from 1 species
GGGCGAGUGGCGGAACUGGUAUACGCGUACGUCUCAGAAGCGUAUGGGGAAACCCUUGGGAGUUCGAGUCUCCCCUCGCCCACCA